rnacentral:rRNA from 1 species
CAGUAGCCGCGGUAAUACGUAGGGUGCAAGCGUUAAUCGGAAUUACUGGGCGUAAAGCGUGCGCAGGCGGUUAUAUAAGACAGAUGUGAAAUCCCCGGGCUCAACCUGGGAACUGCAUUUGUGACUGUAUAGCUAGAGUACGGCAGAGGGGGAUGGAAUUCCGCGUGUAGCAGUGAAAUGCGUAGAUAUGCGUAGGAACACCGAUGGCGAAGGCAAUCCCCUGGGCCUGUACUGACGCUCAUGCACGAAAGCGUGGGGAGCAAACAGGAUUAGAGACCCCCGUAGUCCCUGUCUCUUUACA